GAUGAACGCUAGCGGCAGGCCUAACACAUGCAAGUCGAGGGAGAGGUUACCUUCGGGUAACCAAACCGGCGCACGGGUGCGUAACGCGUAUACAAUCUGCUUUUCACAUAGGGAUAGCCCGAAGAAAUUUGGAUUAAUACCUAAUGGUAUAUAAGAGCGGCAUCGUUUUUAUAUUAAAGCUACGGUGGUGAAAAGAUGAGUAUGCGUUCUAUUAGCUAGUUGGAGAGGUAACGGCUCCCCAAGGCGACGAUAGAUAGGGGUUCUGAGAGGGAUGUCCCCCACACUGGUACUGAGAUACGGACCAGACUCCUACGGGAGGCAGCAGUGAGGAAUAUUGGACAAUGGUCGGAAGACUGAUCCAGCCAUGCCGCGUGCAGGAUGAAGGUCCUAUGGAUUGUAAACUGCUUUUGUAAGGGAAGAAUAAGGAGUACGUGUACUUUGAUGACGGUACCUUACGAAUAAGCAUCGGCUAACUCCGUGCCAGCAGCCGCGGUAAUACGGAGGAUGCGAGCGUUAUCCGGAAUCAUUGGGUUUAAAGGGUCCGUAGGCGGGCUGAUAAGUCAGAGGUGAAAGCGCUUAGCUCAACUAAGCAACUGCCUUUGAAACUGUCAGUCUUGAAUGAUUGUGAAGUAGUUGGAAUGUGUAGUGUAGCGGUGAAAUGCUUAGAUAUUACACAGAACACCGAUAGCGAAGGCAUAUUACUAACAAUUUAUUGACGCUGAUGGACGAAAGCGUGGGGAGCGAACAGG
rnacentral:rRNA from 1 species